rnacentral:pre_miRNA from 1 species
CUCCUCUGACUAAAGUUUCUUGCUCAAAUGAGUAUUCCAAUCUGCUUUCUCUCCCUACAUACAAGCUUGAUUUUUGGGGCAUGAGAUGGGCUCUGUGAUACUCAUUUCAGCAAGCAACCUUACACUGGAG